AAAAGGGCUAUUCUUAUUAAAAAUAUAUAUAUUGUAUUUAAUUGAUGUGUACAUAACCGUACUUAAUGGCAAUUUUCAAUAAGUACUAACAAUUUAUCUUUAUUUAUUGAUUUACAGAUAAAGUCAAAUUUUAAAGACCAGAAUUUAACACUCACCGACGAGUGAACACAGCAAUAGCAUUAGUGAAGUGAUAUCGAGGAUAGCUUAGUCGUUAUGAUGGUGGCAACGGAGGUUCCGAUGGCGUGAAGGAUCUGUGAUUAGCGAUUCGUAUCGUUUGACAUCACAGACGAGCUGAACACCGUUGUUGCUUGAACGGAGUACUAUAGAUGACGCGUCUAAAGCCAAUGACGAUUUAUUUAGUCACUUUAGCGCUUUUGCCGUGGCGCGUCAACUGGCGUCCGUAAUUCUGGCCAUAUAAGCAAACCACCUCCUUGGCUCGUCCGGGUACUAGUUGAGGAAGAGUGGAAUUGUGGGCUAAAAAGGUUGAAGCCGAAUUUCGGCCGCCUUAUCUUUAUAAAGCAUGCAAACCACGUACCGUGGAUGUCGUAGGAACGCAAACGAUAUCAGCCCUAUGGCGGGUAUUGUAGGACUUGCGUAAUAAUUGUGGUAGAGAACUGCGUACCUUUAGAGCAGUUGGCGGCAAUCUAGACGUCCAAUGGCGGUUGUAAAACCACCGUCGCCUUGAUAAGCGUUUCGCUGAUUAAAAAUGACGGUGGACUAGUGUUUCAAAGGUCUAGGGUGAAGAUGAAUUUCAUCCGCCUGAAGCCUUUGAUAACACGCUUACGGCGUCGGACGUCAAUUAAAUAGGUUGUUGUAAAACCAUUGUAGUUGAAACGAAACCAACAAUAUAUUGGCGGAGUGACGACAAUGAUGGACCAAUUGCCUAGAGAGCCGCGAACUUCGACCAACUGCCACGACAAUGCAUUGCUUAAACAUAAAAAUUAUAAAUAAUAGCGUUCAAUGGCGCUGAGUAGUAGUCAGUGGUAAGAAAUUAUUGAGAUGAGAACUUCCCCCCUUCUUCAGAGAAGAUGGAUAUCGUCUUCUCACCACUUUGCGACACAUUCGUAUCGGUUUCCCUGGUAAUGAGGCGGAAUAGUUAAAAAAAAAACAAUCAUACUCAAAACCGCAAAUAAAAACAAUCACUUUUCAUAUGCAUUUCGUAAAUAAAUCCCAUGAGAAUAAAUGUAUUUUUGCUAUGUAUUGGAAAUUGGAUAUCCCUUUUUUCAAUAGGCGAAAUACAAAAAGUUAGAAUUUAAAUUUCAUCGAUUCUAAAAAUAAAUCGCGUGUAUUCUACCGUUGAAUUCGUCAGAUUUUAGAACAACAUGAACUUCUUGAAUAGUUGGCGGUCAUUUUAAUUAUUAUGAAUCCUGAAAGCAAGAAGUAUUUGUUCUAAUCCCAAUAGGAUUUUCAACAUGAUUUCUUUUGAAUUUACAUCUGCAGAAUAUAACUGCAUUUGUUGGAUUUUACGUGCCUUGCUGUAUUUUGUUCUCCAAAUAUAAAACCUAUAAAAUAAUAACAUAUAAGUAAGUAUUUUUACGAUUUCCAGUACAUUAUAUAGCACUUUAUUAGAUUUGUUUAAAAAACGAUAUUGAUUUUUAAAUAUUAUAUCAUUAUUCAUGAUAAAUAUGUAAUAUUUUUAAUCAUUUGGUUUUUAAAUAGCUAUCAAUACACGAAUAUUUAUUUUAUAUCUAAAAUUUUGUAUUCCUUAACAGUUACUUAUAGACCUAUAUAUUUAUAUUGUAUAUUGAACUGGGUGUGCUAUAAUCUGAAAACUAAAAAUACUAUGAGUGGUUAUAAGUUAUAAAUUAUAAUAACUAAUAACUAAUAAUUACAAGUUAUAAUAUUUGAUAAUUAUGAGUGUUAAUAUUUGAAGUAUUAUAAAUUUUUAUAUCAUUGUACCGUGUUUAACAACAACAAUCAGGGCAGGAAUGUGAGAAAACUCUUAGUUUAAUCAUUCUUUCGACACAAUGCUAUUUGGAUAAACAACAGUAAUCAUUGCCAUACUUAAUUUGUUCACAAAUGACAACAAUUAUCAAAUUUGAAUAGUGGUAUUCAUUCUCUUCGAUUGAUGGAAAACGAGAAUCUACCAAGUACCAAUGUUGUCAAUCUCGAUGCUAAUGAAAAGUGUGCUUACUGUACUUUUAUACAUCAGUUAUAUAUGGAAAAUAACUCAUAAUUUAAUAGAUAACCAGGAUUUAUCUAAUAAUAUAAGAUAUAAACAAUCACUUAAAAAUUGUAAGUUAAAAGCUACUACAGUAAUCUAUACAAUAAUUAUUUUAAAUGAUACAUUUCAUAAAUUCAAAACAUUACUGUCAUGUUCACAGAUUAAAUAGCAAUAACGCAGUAUUGUGUAGUAAGUACACUAUAUCACUAAAUUGGUUUUAACUAUUUUGAUUAAAUGUCAUGGUCACCUUUAAUCAUGAAUCAUGAUAGACCACCGACAACAUCAUGGAAACAAAACGACUCAUCGGUCUCCAACGUAAAUUGAAUCUACAACUUCCACAAACAACUGUACUGAGCGUUGCAUUACCAGCUGUCCAUACUGGCGGCCAUGUAAAGUGUGCUUACAGCUUAUUGACAUUUGACAUUGACAGUUAAUUUUAUAGAUCAUAUCGUACGGGUUUUUUUUUAAAUAGCGCUCAAAUGCUGUAAAUCAUUAUAAGAACAUAAUCUGUAUUGUGAAGCUAUUAAACUGGUCAUUUUUA